rfam:Ornithorhynchus anatinus chromosome 2, whole genome shotgun sequence.
CACCUCUCAGGGUCGCACCUGGAGAGUUUCCAGUCCUCUACCAGUCUCUGAUAGGGGACGCAGAGUCAAGCAGAGGCUUACCCAUUCCAUUCCUAGCUUGACCAGUGGCUAGCAAGUGGAAGGCAAUCUGCUACAAGU